AGAGGUUCUCCAUAGAUACAGAGGGUUAGAGAGGUUCUCCAUAGAUACAGAGGGUUAGAGGUUCUCCAUAGAUACAGAGGGUUAGAGGUUCUCCAUAGAUACAGAGGGUUAGAGAGGUUCUCCAUAGAUAGAGGGUUAGAGGUUCUCCAUAGGAUACAGAGGGUUAGAGAGGUUCUCCAUAGAUACAGAGGGUUAGAGAGGUUCUCCAUAGGAUACAGAGGGUUAGAGAGGUUCUCCAUAGAUACAGAGGGUUAGAGAGGUUCUCCAUAGAUACAGAGGGUUAGAGAGGUUCUCCAUAGAUACAGAGGGUUAGAGGUUCUCCAUAGGAUACAGAGGGUGAGAG
ensembl:lncRNA